rfam:Aspergillus oryzae strain BCC7051 OAory_C04, whole genome shotgun sequence.
GCCCUUAUAGCUCAGUGGUAGAGCGCAUCACUCGUAGCCUGAGGCAUCUAGAUGACGUCUAGAAGCCUCUGAAGUUGUCAUGAUGAGGUCCGCGGUUCAAACCCGCGUGGGGGCA